rnacentral:rRNA from 1 species
AUUGAACGCUGGCGGCAUGCCUUACACAUGCAAGUCGAACGGUAACAGGUCUUCGGAUGCUGACGAGUGGCGAACGGGUGAGUAAUACAUCGGAACGUGCCCGAUCGUGGGGGAUAACGAAGCGAAAGCUUUGCUAAUACCGCAUAAGAUCUACGGAUGAAAGCAGGGGACCGCAAGGCCUUGCGCGAACGGAGCGGCCGAUGGCAGAUUAGGUAGUUGGUGGGAUAAAAGCUUACCAAGCCGACGAUCUGUAGCUGGUCUGAGAGGACGACCAGCCACACUGGGACGUAGACACGGCCCAGACUCCUACGGGAGGCAGCAGUGGGGAAUUUUGGACAAUGGGCGAAAGCCUGAUCCAGCCAUGCCGCGUGCAGGAUGAAGGCCUUCGGGUUGUAAACUGCUUUUGUACGGAACGAAAAGACUCUUUCUAAUAAAGAGGGUCCAUGACGGUACCGUAAGAAUAAGCACCGGCUAACUACGUGCCAGCCGCCGCCGUAA